rnacentral:ribozyme from 1 species
CGGGAUCUGUUACGACAUUCGUUUUCCGGAGUAUGCCCUGCUCCUCACGAAGGAACAUCAGUGUAACCUCAUCGUAUACCCCGGUGCAUUUAAUAUGACAACUGGACCAGCGCAUUGGGAGCUGUUG